AAGGAUCAUUAACAAGCCGUGAAGGUCGCCCUGAAAAGGGAAUGAUCUUUCACCUGGCCACCCUUGCUUACUUAACCUGUUGCUUUGGUGGGCCCGCCGCAAGGCCGCCGGGGAACCUAGUUCCCGGGCCCGUGCCCACCAAAGUCUUACCGAACUCUCUAACCCUAAGCUGUCUGAGCGUGAAAGCGCAACCAUUUUAAAACUUUCAACAACGGAUCUCUUGGUUCUG
rnacentral:misc_RNA from 1 species